rnacentral:rRNA from 1 species
UUCCAGAACCGCCGACGGGUGCGAUGUGGGGACGGAGAAGGUUAUGCGAGCCGGCUGUUGGACGUGCCGGUGAAGCGUGUAGGUGGAUCCCUUAGGGAAAUCCGGGGGGUCGUUACCACCGAGGCGCGGGACCAUGAGAGCUUUGCUCUCGGAAGUCGCGGAUACCAUGCUUCCAGGAAAAGCCACUAAGCUUCAGCCCGUUGGGACCGUACCGCAAACCGACACAGGUGGGCAGGAUGAAAAUUCUCAGGCGCUUGAGAGAACUCAGGAGAAGGAACUCGGCAAAUUGACACCGUAACUUCGGGAGAAGGUGUGCCGCUGGUAGGUGAGGGGGAUUUACUCUCCUGAGCCGAGAGCGGCCGCAGAGAAUCGGUGGCUGCGACUGUUUAUCAAAAACACAGCACUCUGCUAAGACGUUGGAAGUCGACGUAUAGGGUGUGACGCCUGCCCGGUGCCGGAAGGUUAAGUGAUGGGGUGCAAGCUCUUGAUCGAAGCCCCGGUAAACGGCGGCCGUAACUAUAACGGUCCUAAGGUAGCGAAAUUCCUUGUCGGGUAAGUUCCGACCCGCACGAAUGGCGUAACGAUGGCCACACUGUCUCCUCCUGAGACUCAGCGAAGUUGAAAUGUUUGUGAAGAUGCAAUCUUCCCGCGGCUAGACGGAAAGACCCCAUGAACCUUUACUGUAGCUUUGCAUUGGACUGUGACGCUGUCUGUGUAGGAUAGCUGGGAGGCGAUGAAGCGGUGCCGCUAGGUGCCGUGGAGCCGACGUUGAAAUACCAGCCUGACGACGUUGCGGUUCUAACCUGGGCCCCUUGACGGGGUCGGGGACCGUGCAUGGUAGGCAGUUUGACUGGGGCGUCUCCUCCCAAAGAGUAACGGAGGAGUGCGAAGGUCACCUAGGUACGGUCGGAAAUCGUACUCAUAGUGCAAUGGCAUAAGGUGGCUUGACUGCGAGACUGACAAGUCGAGCAGGUGCGAAAGCAGGACAUAGUGAUCCGGUGGUUCUGAAUGGAAGGGUCAUCGCUCAACGGAUAAAAGGUACUCUGGGGAUAACAGGCUGAUUCCUCCCAAGAGUUCAUAUCGACGGGGGAGUUUGGCACCUCGAUGUCGGCUCAUCACAUCCUGGGGCUGUAGCCGGUCCCAAGGGUAUGGCUGUUCGCCAUUUAAAGUGGUACGUGAGCUGGGUUCAAAACGUCGUGAGACAGUUUGGUCCCUAUCUGCCGUGGGCGUUGGAGAUUUGACGGGGGCUGCUCCUAGUACGAGAGGACCGGAGUGGACGCAUCCCUGGUGUACCGGUUGUCACGCCAGUGGCAUCGCCGGGUAGCUAUAUGCGGAAGAGAUAACCGCUGAAAGCAUCUAAGCGGGAAACUUGCCUGAAGAUGAGAUCUCCCGGGGGUUUAACCCCCCUGAAGGGUCGUCGGAGACUACGACGUUGAUAGGCCGGGUGUGUAAGGGCAGUAAUGCCUUGAGCUAACCGGUACUAAUUGCCCGUGCGGCUUGACUCU